rnacentral:rRNA from 1 species
GACGAACGCUGGCGGCGUGCUUAACACAUGCAAGUCGAACGAAGAGCGAUGGAAGCUUGCUUCUAUCAAUCUUAGUGGCGAACGGGUGAGUAACGCGUAAUCAACCUGCCCUUCAGAGGGGGGCAACAGUUGGAAACGACUGCUAAUACCGCAUACGAUCUAAUCUCGGCAUCGAGGAUAGAUGAAAGGUGGCCUCUACAUGUAAGCUAUCACUGAAGGAGGGGAUUGCGUCUGAUUAGCUAGUUGGAGGGGUAACGGCCCACCAAGGCGAUGAUCAGUAGCCGGUCUGAGAGGAUGAACGGCCACAUUGGGACUGAGACACGGCCCAGACUCCUACGGGAGGCAGCAGUGGGGAAUCUUCCGCAAUGGACGAAAGUCUGACGGAGCAACGCCGCGUGAGUGAUGACGGCCGUCGGGUUGUAAAGCUCUGUUAAUCGGGACGAAAGGCCUUCUUGCGAAUAGUGAGAAGGAUUGACGGUACCGGAAUAGAAAGCCACGGCUAACUACGUG